rnacentral:rRNA from 1 species
CUUAAAUGAAUUGACGGGACCCGCACAAGCGGUGGAUGAUGUGGAUUAAUUCGAUGCAACGCGAAAACCUUACCUACCCUUGACAUGUCCGGAAUCCCGAAGAGAUUUGGGAGUGCUCGAAAGAGAACCUGCACACAGGUGCUGCAUGGCUGUCGUCAGCUCGUGUCGUGAGAUGUUGGGUUAAGUCCCGCAACGAGCGCAACCCUUGCCAUUAGUUGCUACGAAAGGGCACUCUAAUGGGACUGCCGGUGACAAACCGGAGGAAGGUGGGGAUGACGUCAAGUCCUCAUGGCCCUUAUAGGUGGGGCUACACACGUCAUACAAUGGCCGGUACAGAGGGUAGCCAACCCGCGAGGGGGAGCCAAUCCCACAAAGCCGGUCGUAGUCCGGAUCGCAGUCUGCAACUCGACUGCGUGAAGUCGGAAUCGCUAGUAAUCGCGGAUCAGCAUGUCGCGGUGAAUACGUUCCCGGGUCUU